rnacentral:lncRNA from 1 species
AAAAUCUAGGGUUACUCUAAUAUGUGAAAUAUUAAAAACUCAUUCUAUUUAAGUUUAAUCUCUCCCAUUAAAAUCACAAAUUAAAAACCCAAAAAUCAAAAGACAGCAUUAGAAUAAACUGAGAAGGAAAACUCGCUAAAGAAAGGACGAGAAAGAGAAAGAAGAACAAAAUAGUGAUGAAGAUGAAAUGUUUUGAACUGCAUAGCCCGAUCAUUGGAGAAUAUAAAUAUUUUAAAGGCACAGGCCACAAAACUACUGUACCAACGAAUAACAAGUUUAUGUCUCAUUGCAAGGAUUUGACUUAUUUGAUGAAAG